rnacentral:rRNA from 1 species
UACGUAGGUGGCGAGCGUUGUCCGGAAUUAUUGGGCGUAAAGAGCGUGUAGGUGGGAUCAUAAGUCUUUUGUCAAAGUGCGGGCUCAACCCCGUGAUGCGGAGGAACUGUGAUUCUUGAGUGCCGGAGAGGAAAGCGGAAUUCCAGUGUAGCGGUGAAAUGCGUAGAUAUUGGGAGGAACACCAGUGGCGAAGGCGGCUUCUGGACGGUGUCUGACACUGAGGCGC